rnacentral:lncRNA from 1 species
UUGGGAAACUUUACCAAUUUAUAUUCCUCUUCUCUUACUAUUACAGGAUAAUUUAAUUAAGGAAGAUGAUGAACGCCAAUGCCAGUACUAUAGAACAUGGGUAGCUCUCAGAACGGCCUGGAAUAUACUUUGUAAUUUAAGGAAAUGAGCAGCUUUCAGCAGCAUCUUUAACUCUGGAUUUGGAAGACAAUAAGGUGAUCAGACCAGUAUUGAGCCAGGAUAAAGGAUGGGGCUGGUUGUAACUGUGUGCACUGCACUAAGGAUACAGGAGCAGAAGACAGAAACAGCCCAUGGCUAGUAGGCAUCCAAUAGCAACUGUGCCUGCACAACCGGCCUUUGUGACCACUGAACAGCAUAAGUAAAGGGAGAACUUUUAAUACCUGAGUACAAAGUUAUCAGACUCCCCAUUCUUUCUGGGUCCUUGGGGAAACUCCAGUCUGAAGAGUUUGUUGUGUUAACUCCUGGUUUCUGCCAGUCUGAGAAGAUGCUGCUGAACAUCACCCAAUGACUUUCCAGCUAUGAGGAGAAAAAGGAGGAAUGGAGGACAGUUUAAACAAGUUUAAACAAGCCAUCUCCCUCCAGAUGGUGACUGCCAUACCAAACCACAGACUUGGAUCACUGUCUUCAGAGUUCUAGCUUGUUCUGCCUGGCAAGUGUGCAUGGUUGGGAUGCCCAACAUAUUUCUGCAGUGGUUUGUUUCAGAAGCUAAUCACAUGAGUUGAGAACUGAAACUGGACCAAGGUAUUGAGUACACUGAGAAAGUGGUGAGCUUAGGGUCUAGCAGGUGCUAAAGUGUGAUGGUUGAUGCCAGGGCGGUAGUUUAAGAUGCCAUAGUAUCAGAGGCUGUAUGGACCAGGAAAGACUAGCUUCCUCCCUGUUCGAGGAUAACUGCUCCUCAAGGAUCCCAAACAAAUGAUUGUGAGAAUUCACAAGACUUCUAAGUUGUCUAUUCACAGAUGACUGUGUUACGAGUAAUGGAUUAAAAGGGCAAAGAGAUAGGAGUAGGAAGUCUUGGUAACAUUACAUUCGAAGUGCUCCAUGGCUUAGAAGACAGAAGCUUCUACAGUUUCUAAGGACUUGAAAGGUCACCCAAUGUUUUUUUUUUUUUUUUUUUAAUGCAAGGAUGCUUGGAAUUAGCA